rnacentral:rRNA from 1 species
AUUGAACGCUGGCGGCAGGCCUAACACAUGCAAGUCGAGCGGAGCGGCGGACGGGUGAGUAAUGCCUAGGAAUCUGCCUGGUAGUGGGGGAUAACGUCCGGAAACGGGCGCUAAUACCGCAUACUAUCAGAUGAGCCUAGGUCGGAUUAGCUAGUUGGUGGGGUAAAGGCCUACCAAGGCGACGAUCCGUAACUGGUCUGAGAGGAUGAUCAGUCACACUGGACCGGAGACACGGUCCGGACUCCGACGGGAGGCAGGGGUGGGGAAUAUUGGAAAAUGGGCGAAGCCCUGACCCGUCCCUGCCGCGUGUGUGAAGAAGGUCUUCGGAUUGUAAAGCACGUUAAGUUGGGAGGCGUUACCAACAGAAUAAGCACCGGCUAACUGCGUGCCAGCAGCCGCGGUAAUAC